GGUCAGGAGCCAAAAAUUAGAGUGUGUCAGUCCACCAGUUCCUCUGCAGAGAAGCUCUCUUCUCGCCCAGUGAGUGUUCUGUGCUCUUGGAUUGAGGCCAGGAGGGGAAAUCCAUUUUACAUAAAGAAUGCACACAGCUCAAGUGCUCCGAGACUUUUUACCUACUAAAAUAACGUUGUGGACAAACGCCAGCCUGCUAGACACGUUCGGCGGAGAACAUUUGGCAUCAAAAACAAGUGCUGUGGUCAAGAAACAAACAAACAAGAGUUGAGGAUGAAAUCUUUGUACUCUCAUGGAACCCACUUCUAUACUGAUCUUAAUGGGAUUGAACCUGAAACAAAGGAAAACACUUACAA